rnacentral:lncRNA from 1 species
GGGGGCGGCGACAGAGGGGCAGGGCCGAGGGCGAGUCAUUGGUUGGGAGGUACCGCGAGGCAUUGAGACCUGUGGAGGAGGAAGGAGGAGGUCACCGUCCAGCUGUCUCUCCCCUGUCCCCACAUGUCUUCUAAGCUGUUGGAGCCGGCCGGCGCUCACUUGUCUUCAGGAAGCUCGGAGCCUUUGGUGGAGCCGGGGAGAGGAAGGGUGGGUGCAAGAGUGAAAGGCGAGAGGGGACUGCAGGCAUCCGGGUCGGCUCCUGGCCAGAGCAAGAUGGCUGAGGGCGAGCGGCAGCCGCCGCCAGAUUCUUCGGAGGAGGCCCCUCCAGCCACUCAGAACUUCAUCAUUCCAAAAAAGGAGAUCCACACAGUUCCAGACAUGGGCAAAUGGAAGCGUUCUCAGGUACCCAUGGUGUCUGCACUUCAGGGUUGGAACUGUGGUGAGAAACUUGGGCUUUUCAAAGACAGUGGUUUUCCU